GAUGAACGCUGGCGGCGUGCCUAAUACAUGCAAGUCGAGCGAACGGACGAGAAGCUUGCUUCUCUGAUGUUAGCGGCGGACGGGUGAGUAACACGUGGAUAACCUACCUAUAAGACUGGGAUAACUUCGGGAAACCGGGGCUAAUACCGGAUGAUAUUUUGAACCGCAUGGUUCAAAAGUGAAAGACGGUCUUGCUGUCACUUAUAGAUGGAUCCGCGCUGCAUUAGCUAGUUGGUAAGGUAACGGCUUACCAAGGCAACGAUGCAUAGCCGACCUGAGAGGGUGAUCGGACACACUGGAACUGAGACACGGUCCAGACUCCUACGGGAGGCAGCAGUAGGGAAUCUUCCGCAAUGGGCGAAAGCCUGACGGAGCAACGCCGCGUGAGUGAUGAAGGUCUUCGGAUCGUAAAACUCUGUUAUUAGGGAAGAACAUAUGUGUAAGUAACUGUGCACAUCUUGACGGUACCUAAUCAGAAAGCCACGGCUAACUACGUG
rnacentral:rRNA from 1 species